rnacentral:rRNA from 1 species
AUUGAACGCUGGCGGCAGGCCUAACACAUGCAAGUCGAGCGGCAGCGGAAGGAAGCUUGCUUUCUUGCCGGCGAGCGGCGGACGGGUGAGAAAGGUAUGGGGAUCUGGCCGAAGGCGGGGGAUAACCACUGGAAACGGUGGCUAUUACGGCAUAAUCUUUAAGGAGCAAAGUGGGGGACCGUCUAGUCCUCAAACCUUCGGAUGAACCCAUAUGAGAUUAGCUAGUAGGUGGGGUAAUGGCUCACCUAGGGGACGAUCUCUAGCUGGUCUGAGAGGAUGAUCAGCCACACUGGGACUGAGACACGGCCCAGACUCCUACGGGAGGCAGCAGUGGGGAAUAUUGCACAAUGGGCGCAAGCCUGAUGCAGCCAUGCCGCGUGUAUGAAGAAGGCCUUCGGGUUGUAAAGUACUUUCAGUCGUGAGGAGGGUGUUAAGGUUAAUAACCUUAGCAUUGACGGUAGCGACAGAAGAAGCACCGGCUAACUCCGUGCCAGCAGCCGCGGUAA